AUUAAAUGGAUCGACACGGAGACUGGAAUCUGACAAAGGAUAUUCACUGCAAGAUAAACAGCUUUAUCUAACAUUCUAGUAACAGUGACAUGCACUGGGUUUGAGACCUCCUAUAAAACCCAUGAAGAAUGCUUUGAAAUGUACUGCAGAAAUCUUGACACCCCUGUAGUGUAAUAAUUAGAGCACCAGUUAGAAGCUGUUUUUGCUAUACAGAAGUUAUCAAGUAAUGAGUGUUUACUUAUAUUUCUGUCUUUGUCUAUGGAGAAGAAAAUGUCUGACACAUCACAGAUCAUGAUGGUAGCCUACAGCCUACAAACUUUGUGGUUAGAUGACCUUCUAUGCUGCUGGUGGUGCAAGGAAUUCUUACUUCUGUUCUAAAGCAUUUAUUACUGCACUUGAGCUGAAAGCCAGUUUGUGUUACAUUGGGAGGGUUCUUUCGCACUGUGGUGGGAGCAGAGAACUAUAUUCAACCCAUCCAAGCACUACUGCACUCCAAUAACGCUGACUGAAAUUGCUUCAUAACAGAUAAACAAAAGACACAACAUAUAAAUAAGAAAAAAAGAUGGCCAAGGUCAAGGUGACGCCUUAGGUCUGUCUGGUGAGGAUGAGGAACAUUAUCAGGCCUAGCCACAUUUGCUACCAGCUCCCUCUAUUGCAACUCAAGGUGAGUGUGAUGAUGAGAAUAUACGUUGCUCAAUGAAUAAGGAAGAAGACUCCUAUCGGGUAGACAUCAUGUCUCACCACCUGUUGACCGACCACUGAUGUAGUACAUGCUUUAGACAGCAGUGGAGAAUGCACUCAAGCAUCUAACUUAGAAAUCAAACCAAAUACAUAUUUAACUGCUCAUCUAAAGCUGUCAUUUACAUUGAAUGCUGUACAAAAUGUGAUUUUUUUAUACUGAGAAACCAGAUCGACCUCUUAGAAAAUGGAUUUAUGAACAUAUGUAUAACAUCUCCCAUAUGAUUGAAACUAACUUUGUACAAAAAUACUUAUACCUGUACCGAGAUUGUUUUUACAUUUUUUUGUAUUGCAACACAAGUGGAUCAGAAUGUCUAUGGGGUAUUAUGGCAAACUGUUAUUGAAUAUUGUGAAUUACACUGGCAAUUAAAGUUGAACUCCAGGGCUUCUCUGGGGCUGAGUGACCAUAUUUCUAUUGCCAGUGUUUUAAAGUUGCAACAAGCUAAAUUAUAAAUUAUGAAUUAAACAUUACUUAUUAAUUAUUAUUUAUUGCCAUACCUAAGUGUUUUUAAAGCAUUUUAUUCUGUACUUUGUUAUUAUUUAGGUAUUGCAUUCAUGAGGCACUUGAUAAUGAGUAAUGAAUUUGAGCUAUAACUUCAAUAUGUGCAGGUGAUUAUGCAGUCCAAGUCAAGUGAUGCAUGUAAGCUAUUUAAGUGUUUGAUUUAGUGUACCUGUUGUUCUGAUGAAGUCCAGAAUACCUGGAAAAAGCACUUAACUGAUAUAUUAAAAUCAUUAUUGUUUUUAUAUAUUUUUGGUUUCCUGGUAGUGUUUCCCAUGACUAGUCUGUUCCUUUGAUUCUUUGAUACCACUUAAAGAUCCUACCCCCAAAAAUGAAAAUUGCACUUGGGCAGUUAAUUUACUCACCAAAUGCAAGAAAACUUGGCCAUAUAAUGCAUUUUAUCUUAUUUCCAGAAAUAACACAAUGUGUUUUCAGAAGGUAAUGAAAGUUCCAAAAAAGUAUAAACCAAACAUUAUAUACAAUUUUUGUAGUGUUUUUUUGUGAUUUAGUUUGAGCCUUGAUCUGCGAUAAUAUAACACAGAAAUCUAAAUUCUGCUAAAUAUCGUAUAGAAUUAGAAAGCUACCUAUCUGACAGUAGCAGCAGUUCUAAAAAAGUAUAUCUUCUGGGUGUCAGAAGGCAUAAGAGCAUAACCUUUAAGAAUAAUGAUAUCCUUUUCUUUUGCAGGGUGAUGGACAUAUUAUAUCUCUUACAUUUUUCAAAUGAUGCAUAUUCACUGUAGAAUGGGCACAAUUAAGCCUUUGGAGGUUUAUAAGUAGAUACUUACUGGCAACUGGUUUCUUGGUCAGCAAUGCUUCUCUAUGUCUUUGGCAAUCCCAAGCCAGAGUAAUCAAGCAACUAUCUUCAUGAUUCUUUUGGUUUUGCUUUCUUUUAUGUAUCACAGAAUGGUCAUUUGCCUUAGGAUGCAACUCUUACUGACAGGGUUUAAGCAUUGUAAUUAUGAGUCUCUUUCUUUAAGUCAGGUUCAGUCCAUUCUUUAAACAGUAACCGACUGAUAAUAUCAUAACUUUCAUGAGCUUCAUAAGGUAGACGAAAAGAUAUGCUUAUUGUAUUGUGUCUGGUUCUGCAUAAUCAUCUACUAUGUGUUCUUCUGUUUAGUUGUAUUCAAUAUUGUGAAUACUUCUUUACUGUUAAAACAUUGCUAAUAGCUGACUGAUGUAUUUAGAGAUGUUCUCCAAGAUGAAUGAAUAAGGUAAUUGUUUUAC